rnacentral:hammerhead_ribozyme from 1 species
AUCCAGUUGACGGGUCCCAUAUAGGACGAAACACGCAUCCUGGAU